CCCUUAGAUGUUCCGGGCCGCACGCGCACUACACUGAUGCAUUCAACGAGUCUAAAACCUGGUCUGAUAGGGCUGGGUAAUCUUUUGAAUGUGCAUCGUGAUUGGGAUAGAUGAUUGCAAUUCUUCAUCUUCAACGAGGAAUGCCUAGUAAACGCAAGUCAUCAGCUUGCAUUGAUUACGUCCCUGCCCUUUGUACACACCGCCCGUCGCUCCUACCGAUUGAAUGUUCCGAUGAAUACCAUGGACUGAGAGUAUGAAUGGGUUCGCCUAUUUCUGCUUCUCGGGAAGUGGAGUAAAUCUUAACAUUUAGAGGAAGGAGAAGUCGUAACA
rnacentral:rRNA from 1 species